UACGUAGGGAGCGAGCGUUGUCCGGAUUCAUUGGGCGUAAAGAGCUCGUAGGCGGUUCGGUAAGUCGGGUGUGAAAUCUCCGUGCUCAACACGGAGCGGCCACCUGAUACUGCCGUGACUCGAGUCCGGUAGGGGAGUGUGGAAUUCCCGGUGUAGUGGUGAAAUGCGUAGAUAUCGGGAGGAACACCAGUGGCGAAGGCGACUUCCUGGCCUGUUCUUGACGCUGAGGCGCGAAAGCUAGGGGAGCAAACGGG
rnacentral:rRNA from 1 species